UACGUAGGGUGCGAGCGUUAAUCGGAAUUACUGGGCGUAAAGCGUGCGCAGGCGGUUUUGUAAGACCGAUGUGAAAUCCCCGGGCUUAACCUGGGAACUGCAUUGGUGACUGCAGAGCUAGAGUGUGUCAGAGGGAGGUGGAAUUCCGCGUGUAGCAGUGAAAUGCGUAGAGAUGUGGAGGAACACCGAUGGCGAAGGCAGCCUCCUGGGCCAACACUGACGCUCAUGCACGAAAGCGUGGGGAGCAAACAGG
rnacentral:rRNA from 1 species